GAGUGAUCAGCUGCUGGAAGUGGUGGGACUUGAAGGUGCGAUGGAGAUGGGUCAGAUCUACACAGGGCUGAAGAGUGCGGGAGAAGACUUGCGCAGUGCUCUUCUGUGGUUAUACGGACCAGCAAGUCACUUCCCAUGCAGAUAGAUGGGGAACCUUGGAUGCAGACACCAUGCACAAUCAAGAUCACUCACAAAAACCAAGCCCCCAUGCUGAUGGGACCUCCUCCGAGGAACAGCCUCUUCACCUCUUUCAUCAAAGGAACAAUGAACAGGAGCAAAGAAUGAAUAUUUGCUAAAAUCUGUACACAGGGAAGAC